rnacentral:rRNA from 1 species
GUCCAUGGAGCUUGCUCCGGAAGAUCGAGUGGCGAACGGGUGAGUAACACGUGAGAAACCUGCCCCGAAGACCGGGAUAACCCACCGAAAGGUGGGCUAAUACCGGAUACCUUCACGACGUCUCCUGGCGAUGUGAAGAAAUGGAUUCCGCUUUGGGAGGGUCUCGCGGCCUAUCAGCUUGUUGGUGAGGUAACGGCUCACCAAGGCGACGACGGGUAGCUGUUCUGAGAGGAAGAUCAGCCACACUGGGACUGAGACACGGCCCAGACUCCUACGGGAGGCAGCAGUGGGGAAUCUUGCGCAAUGGGCGAAAGCCUGACGCAGCGAUGCCGCGUGCGGGAAGACGGCCUUAGGGUUGUAAACCGCUUUCAGCAGGGACGAAAUUGACGGUACCUGCAGAAGAAGCUCCGGCCAACUACGUGCCAGCAGCCGCGGUAAGACGUAGGGGGCGAGCGUUGUCCGGAAUUAUUGGGCGUAAAGGGCUCCUAGGUUGUUCAGUAAGUCGACUGUGAAAAUCCAAGGCUCAACCUUGGGACGCCAGUCGAUACUGCUGUGACUCGAGUUCGGUAGAGGAGUGUGGAAUUCCUGGUGUAGCGGUGA